rnacentral:rRNA from 1 species
AUUGAACGCUGGCGGCAUGCCUUACACAUGCAAGUCGAACGGCAGCACGGGUGCUUGCACCUGGUGGCGAGUGGCGAACGGGUGAGUAAUACAUCGGAACAUGUCCUGUAGUGGGGGAUAGCCCGGCGAAAGCCGGAUUAAUACCGCAUACGAUCCACGGAUGAAAGCGGGGGACCUUCGGGCCUCGCGCUAUGGGGUUGGCCGAUGGCUGAUUAGCUUGUUGGUGGGGUAAAGGCCUACCAAGGCGACGAUCAGUAGCUGGUCUGAGAGGACGACCAGCCACACUGGGACUGAGACACGGCCCAGACUCCUACGGGAGGCAGCAGUGGGGAAUUUUGGACAAUGGGCGAAAGCCUGAUCCAGCAAUGCCGCGUGUGUGAAGAAGGCCUUCGGGUUGUAAAGCACUUUUGUCCGGAAAGAAAUCCUUGGCUCUAAUACAGUCGGGGGAUGACGGUACCGGAAGAAUAAGCACCGGCUAACUACGUG